rnacentral:rRNA from 1 species
CGCGUAGGCGGUUGAGUAAGCCAAAUGUGAAAUCCCCGGGCUUAACCUGGGAACUGCAUUCGAUACUGCUUAACUAGAGUAUGGUAGAGGGAAGUGGAAUUCCGGGUGUAGCGGUGAAAUGCGUAGAUAUCCGGAGGAACACCAGUGGCGAAGGCGACUUCCUGGGCCAAUACUGACGCUGAGGUGCGAAAGCGUGGGGAGCAAACA